GUUGAGGGGGGGCGGGGUGAGGGGAGGAAGAGAGGACGAAGGAAAAAUGCCAGGAGAGGGAGAAGAAAGAAAUGUUCCUUUUGCAAAAGGAGGCAUAAUAUGGCUUAGAGGUUGCCAAAGCAAAAGAACAGUCCCUUUCUCUGCCCUGGGGGAGCCGGGAAGAUGUGCAGCCCCAGCCCUCGUCCUCAGCGGAGCCUCGCGCGCGCAGAGCCUAGCGCGAUUCGCGCCCUCAUUACCACUACAAAGCACGGGCCAGACCAAUCCCCUUUCUAAUGCACCAUUUUCGACUGAGAACAUCAAGAGGCCAGAAACUUCCAAGUGAGCUUGCAGACGCAGACGCCUCCUGGGUCCUGGCUUUAAGAACCAGAUGCCAACAUUCCCGGACAGUUUAUGGCAUCCGGAUCCCUCAAGGGUGCUCAUCUGCAGUUGAGAGUCUAAUAAACGGCAUUAACAAAGCGUUUCAACGACUACCACGGCUUAACAGUGGCUCCUCCCCUGCCCUGCCACCAUUCGGGCCGUAAUUCCUUCCAGGAUUCCCGCACCGUCCUGUGUGCCCAGAGCUCUCUAGAGCACCAGGAUUCUGUGUGAAGAAUACAGAGACAGACGUUACAUUUCAAAGAAGAAAGGACGAUACGACGGCCCUCUUUAAGGAGAGCGUAAACAUGCACUUUAGGUAAAAGCUAAUCUUUUACACGCCUGUGCACGGCACACCUCUUUUGCUGUUCGCCUUGACCCCGAGUUUGGAAAGACUGCCCCCAUUUCAGAGAGUAAGAAACGCAGGCACACAUGAAUGACAGACGACUCUGUGGUGGCCUAGACUCCAGCCAACACUUCUGGGACAACCUGCCAUCGUGCAUGGGUGUGUAACCUUGACUCCAGUCACCAUGUAACAAAUGCAGACAUCUCUGAGAUCACCAUGUAGUGAGGAAGUCCAAGCUGGUGGCAUGAAGAGGCCACAUGGAAAGGGCUAAAAAAGGGGCCAGCCUCAGUCAUCCCAGCUGAGCACCUGGCUAGGAGUAAAGGAGGACCCCAUGGAUAUCCCGCCCGGUGCAGGGACUCCUGGGAUGGUGUUGCCCAGUGACACAAUCCCAGUGUGGCCAUUUCUGAUCCCGAGAAAGCAGUCAGGAGUGGGUGGCUGCAGUUACAGUUCAUCGAGUCCUGCUGGUUCAAGUCAUGAGUCCUGAAUUCCCUGGGAGGAGCCACUAAAGAAAUGCAGAAGAAGGAAAUCCUUGCAAUAAAGUGGGAUGAGGUUCUUUGGUUGCUGCUGUUAUAGGGGUGGGGUGCAUGUUGGGGCCUGGGGGGUGAGGCUGAGGGCUCCCCCAGUCUGUCCCUCCCUGAGCCUGAGCUCUUGGUUCCCACCCAGCCCGUUGUUUCUUUCUUCUCUGGGAGCACCUGCACCCCCAGUUUGCGGCGUGUCCUGGGGUGAGUCACUGUGAGCCCCAGGUUCCCAUAUGUAAAGGGUGGGUAACGCUCCCUCACCUGCUUCUGCACUAAGCCCUUACAAAGCCCUCAGACGGAGACUGCUGCUUUCAUAUCUUGCAGGCCAUCAAACUGCCAGUGGGAAGGGUGCCCAGGUAACCUGCCCACGUCAGGACGGCCAGGAGAUGGCGGAACCAGAAUCUAAGCCCACUCCCAUCUGACUUCAACGUCUGUGCCCCUGAUGUUUGCACCGAGUCACCUCCUAAGACUUUCUGAAACUGGAUCACAUCCAUUUAUCUCUGAGAGAAAUGCAAGCUUUAAAAAAGGAAAUAUUUACUAUGGAUAUUUUACAAUAGUUCCAAAACAUGAAAGUUUUAAAUAAAAUAUUCUUAACCAUCCUCA